rnacentral:rRNA from 1 species
GUAACGGCGAGUGAAGAGGAAAGAGCUCAAAGUUGGAAACUGUUUGGCUUAGCUAAACCGUAUUGUAAACUGUAGAAACAUUUUCCUGGCACACCAGAUUAAUAAGUCCUUUGGAACAAGGCAUCAUGGAGGGUGAGAAUCCCGUCUUUGAUCUGAGUAGUUGUCUUUUGUGAUAUGUUUUCAAAGAGUCAGGUUGUUUGGGAAUGCAGCCUAAAUUGGGUGGUAAAUCUCACCUAAAGCUAAAUAUUUGCGAGAGACCGAUAGCGAACAAGUACCGUGAGGGAAAGAUGAAAAGAACUUUGAAAAGAGAGUUAAACAGUAUGUGAAAUUGUUAAAAGGGAACCGUUUGGAGCCAGACUGGUUUGCUUGUAAUCAACCUAGAAUUCGUUUUGGGUGCACUUGCAGGCUAUACCUGCCAACAACAGUUUGAUUUGGAGGAAAAAAUUAGUAGGAAUGUAGCCUCUCGAGGUGUUAUAGCCUACUAUCAUACUCUGGAUUGGACUGAGGAACGCAGCGAAUGCCUUUAGGCAAGAUUGCUGGGUGCUUUCGCUAAUAAAUGUUAGAAUUUCUGCUUCGGGUGGUGCUAAUGUUUAAAGGAGGAACACAUCUAGUAUAUUUUUUAUUCGCUUAGGUUGUUGGCUUAAUGACUCUAAAUGACCCGUCUUGAAACACGGACCAAGGAGUCCACCAUAAGUGCAAGUAUUUGAGUGACAAACUCAUAUGCGUAAGGAAACUGAUUGAUACGAAAUCUUUUGAUGGCAGUAUCACCCGGCGUCGACGUUUUAACUGAAGUGACCGAGGUAAAGCACUUAUGAUGGGACCCGAAAGAUGGUGAACUAUGCCUGAAUAGGGUGAAGCCAGAGGAAACUCUGGUGGAGGCUCGUAGCGAUUCUGACGUGCAAAUCGAUCGUCAAAUUUGGGUAUAGGGGCGAAAGACUAAUCGAACCAUCUAGUA